rnacentral:lncRNA from 1 species
CGCCACUGGUCAACGCCCUCCACCAGGUGCCAUUGCCCGCGUGGGCCCAGUGGGCAGUGGGCCUGGAGUGUUCCAACACCGUGCCAAGGGGUGACACACCUUCGUACCAUUACUGUUCCCACAUUCAUCCAUAUCCACACACGCUCCCUCGUCCUCAUGGUACCCCCCAGGACAGUCACAGUGGUACGACCGUGAUAUGUGGUGUUUUAGAGACCUUUGUCAAUAUCGUCGCACACCGUUGUUGUUGCACAAGGAGACCUCGGGACAGGAGGAACCCGCUAUUACAGGAGCCACGGAGGUUGAGACAGGUCAAGUAGGGCUGGCAGACAGAGACGGAGGUAGAGGAGUUGCAAUACUCCUCAGAACACUCGUCCACGUCCACACACUCAAUAUCAUUGCUCCAUAAACCCUUGUAGCACAAGCAGAAGAAUGAACCAAUGGGGUUCAUGCACGUUCCGUUGGUGCAGAGCGGCCUGAGCACUCCUCGACAUCCUCACACUGAUCAUUUAUGCUGAGGAAUCCUACAUUACAGGGACACAGGAAUCUGCCAUAGGUGUUGACGCAGGUGCUGUUCUCAGGACAAGUGGAAUUGUCCAGGAAUUCGUUGAUGUCCUCACAGCCUGAGCCAUUGCCCUAGUAGCCUUCCCAGCUGUCACAGACAAACGAGCCGGGUGUGUUCUGGCAAUCGGAGGUGUUCGGGCACUGUGCCAGCCCCACGGCACUCUCGUUAAUAUCUAGACACAGAGAGUUGUUACUAGCCUGGUAGUCCAUGUCACAGGGGCAGCAGUAGCUACCCUCAGAGUUGGUAGAGGUGCUGUUGUCUGGACAGGUGAAGUUCCCCGCCUCACACUCGUCCACGUCCACGCAGUGUGUCCCGUGGAGUGUGUCCCGCCCCAACAGUCGCACGUAUAGGAACCCUCUGUGUUGAAGCAGUAGGAGAACUCCGGGCAGUACUCCCGCCCCAUUUGGCAAAACUUGUCCACGUCCCAGCACGCCGCCACGUUGCCGUGGAAACUGUCCUGGCAGUGGCAGUAGAAGGAGCCCUUGGUGGGGUAGGCACGCUGCGUGAGGGUGCCACAUACUGCUGGUAUUCAGGCAGUCCUCCUCAGACACACACGUGCCUGCUCCGUAAGCUAGGCCCCGGAUGCAGGUGCAGUCGUACCUCCUGGGGGUGUUGUGGCACGUCAUGUUCCCCCCCCCCACAGGUAGAGGGUGAGAGACAUUCAUCCACAUCCUCACAGACGAACCCGUCCCCCAUGUACCCCUCCUGGCACCGACAGAGGAACCGUUUGUGUUGUUGGAAAGGGUCAGGCAGCUGCAGUUGUGGGGCUGGGUGGAGUUGUCGGGACACUCGUCAACAUCCUGGGACUCAUAGCCAGUGCCCUCGGUGCCAUGUUGUAGCACCUGGCAACAGGGUGGCAUCCUCCAUUUUGGGUUUGGCACUCAUCAAUGUCUAUAAUUCAUCCAAAAUGGGACAGUGCCAAGUAAACAGCCCCG